CUUAGCAUAUCAAUAAGCGGAGGAAAAGAAACCAACAGGGAUUGCCUCAGUAACGGCGAGUGAAGCGGCAACAGCUCAAAUUUGAAAUCUGGCUCUUUCAGGGUCCGAGUUGUAAUUUGUAGAAGAUGCUUCGGGUGUGGCUCCGGUCUAAGUUCCUUGGAACAGGACGUCAUAGAGGGUGAGAAUCCCGUAUGUGACUGGCUGCCUCCCCCAUGUGAAGCUCUUUCGACGAGUCGAGUUGUUUGGGAAUGCAGCUCAAAAUGGGUGGUAAAUUUCAUCUAAAGCUAAAUAUUGGCCAGAGACCGAUAGCGCACAAGUAGAGUGAUCGAAAGAUGAAAAGCACUUUGGAAAGAGAGUUAAACAGUACGUGAAAUUGUUGAAAGGGAAGCGCUUGCAAUCAGACUUGCGCGCGGUCGAUCAUCCGAUGUUCUCACCGGUGCACUCGACCGUGCUCAGGCCAGCAUCGGUUUCGGUGGUUGGAUAAAGGCCUUGGGAAUGUGGCUCUCUUCGGGGAGUGUUAUAGCCCUCGGUGCAAUGCAGCCUACCGGGACCGAGGACCGCGCUUCGGCUAGGAUGCUGGCGUAAUGGUUGUAAGCGACCCGUCUUGAAACACGGACCAAGGAGUCUAACAUCUAUGCGAGUGUUUGGGUGUCAAACCCAUACGCGUAAUGAAAGUGAACGGAGGUGAGAACCCUUAAGGGUGCAUCAUCGACCGAUCCUGAUGUCUUCGGAUGGAUUUGAGUAAGAGCAUAGCUGUUGGGACCCGAAAGAUGGUGAACUAUGCCUGAAUAGGGUGAAGCCAGAGGAAACUCUGGUGGAGGCUCGCAGCGGUUCUGACGUGCAAAUCGAUCGUCAAAUUUGGGUAUAGGGGCGAAAGACUAAUCGAACCAUCUAGUAGCUGGUUCCUGCCGAAGUUCCCC
rnacentral:rRNA from 1 species